UCCGUUUGAUCCUGACGGAGCCUACUGCUAUCGGAUUUGGAUUAAGUCAUGCAAGUCAAAGCAACUUGUUCGCUUGGCGAACUGCUCCGUAACGCGUAGAUAAUCUAACCUAUGGUAGGGAAUAAUCGCGGGAAACUGCGCGUAAUCCCCUAUAGGUGCAAUGUCCUGGAAUGGCUUUGCACAUAAAGCUUCGGCGCCAUGGGAUGAGUCUGCGUCCGAUUAUGCUUGUUGGCGGUGUCUUGGACCACCAAGGCGACGAUCGGUCCGGGCCGUGAGAGCGGUAGCCCGGAGAUGGCCACUGAGACAACGGGCCAGGCCCUAUGGGGUGCAGCAGGCGCGAAAACUGGCCAAUGCGCGAAAGCGUGAGCCGGCUAAUCCGAGUGAUAUCCCAUCGGAUAUCUUUUGUCAAGUGUAUCAAGCUUGGCGAAUAAUGAGAGGACAAGACUGGUGCCAGCCGCCGCGGUAAAACCAGCUCUUAGAGUGGUAGGCGUGUUUACUUGGCUUAAAGUGUGCGUAGCAGGACAGUGCAAGUCCUCCGUGAAAUGCUAGGUCUUAAGCUUAGCGCGCGCGGGGGAUACUGUGCGUCUUGGGACCGGGAUAGGUAUGAGGUAUGCAUCGGGUAGGGGUGAAAUCCGAUAAUCCAAUGCAGACCACCGGUGGCGAAGGCGUCAUACUGGAACGGGUCCGACUGUGAGGCACGAAAGCUAGGGUCGCGAGCCGGAUUAGAUACCCGGGUAGUCCUAUGCUGUAAACGAUGCUCACUAAGUGUUGGAUAAUGCAGGACAUUAUCCAGUGCCGAAGGGAAACCGUUAAGUGAGCCGCCUGGGAAGUACGUUCGCAAGAAUGAAACUUAAAGGAAUUGGCGGGGGCCUACUACAAGAAGUGGAGCCUGCGGUUUAAUUGGACCCAACUCCGGGAAGCUCACCUGGGCCGUAACGUGAAUGAUUGUCCUGCUGAAGACACUGCUUGAUGCGUUACUGGAGGUGCAUGGCCAUCGUCAGUUCGUGCCGUGAGGUGUCCUGUUAAGUCAGGCAACGAACGAGAUCCCUACCGCUAAAUGCCAGCGAGACCCCCGGGUCGUCGGGGACAUUAGCGGGACUGCUCGCGAAAAAGUGAGAGGAAGGAAGGGCCAACGGUAGGUCAGUAUGCCCCUAUAUGCCCAGGGCUACACGCGGGCUACAAUGGCGAGUACAGAGGGUUCCUACACCGAAAGGUGGCGGUAAUCUCCAAAACUCGUCUCAGUUGGGAUUGCGGGCUGUAACUCGCCCGCAUGAACUUGGAAUUUCUAGUAAGCGCGUGUCAGCAGCGCGCGCUGAAUACGUCCCUGGGCCUUGCACACACCGCCCGUCGCAGCACGCGAGACGGGCUUGCCAGAGGCUGCAGAGUAAUACUGUAUUCGAUGGUAAGCUCGUUGAGCAGGCUGAAGUCGUAACAAGGUA
rnacentral:rRNA from 1 species